UGGGGAAUUUUGGACAAUGGGCGCAAGCCUGAUCCAGCCAUGCCGCGUGAGUGAAGAAGGCCUUCGGGUUGUAAAGCUCUUUCGGACGGAAAGAAAUCGCGCAGGCUAAUACCCUGCGCGGAUGACGGUACCGUCAUAAGAAGCACCGGCUAACUACGUGCCAGCAGCCGCGGUAAUACGUAGGGUGCGAGCGUUAAUCGGAAUUACUGGGCGUAAAGCGUGCGCAGGCGGUUGAUUAAGACAGGCGUGAAAUCCCCGGGCUUAACCUGGGAACUGCGCUUGUGACUGGUCAGCUAGAGUACGGCAGAGGGGGGUGGAAUUCCACGUGUAGCAGUGAAAUGCGUAGAGAUGUGGAGGAACACCGAUGGCGAAGGCAGCCCCCUGGGCCGAUACUGACGCUCAUGCACGAAAGCGUGGGUAGCAAACAGGA
rnacentral:rRNA from 1 species